CUCUCCCGGGGGGGGGGGGCGGAGGUCAUUAAAGAAAUUUAAUAAUUUUGAAAAUGGAUUUUUUUGUUUUGGCAAGAGCAUGAGAGCUUUUACUGGGCAAGAAGACAAGAGAUGGAGAGUCCAGCCGGGCCUGCGCUUAAGUGCGCGGUCUUGCUAGGCUUGUAAGUUUCUUUCUUGCUAUUCCAAACGGUGAGAGAUUUCUGUGCUUUUGUUAUAGGACAAUUAAAACCGUUUCAAUACAACACACUGUGGAGUUUUCAUAUCUUUGCAACUUUUUCUUUGGGCAUUCGAGCAAUCGGGGCCCAGAGGUAACAAACACAAACAAUUUUAUUUAUUCAUUAAAUUUUUGUCAAAAACAAGAAUUUUCGUAACUGGAAAUUUUAAAAUAUUAAAAACUUUCAACAACGGAUCUCUUGGUUCUCGCAUCGAUGAAGAACGCAGCGAAAUGCGAUACGUAAUGUGAAUUGCAGAAUUCCGUGAAUCAUCGAAUCUUUGAACGCACAUUGCGCCCCUUGGUAUUCCAGGGGGCAUGCCUGUUUGAGCGUCAUUUCCUUCUCAAACAUUCUGUUUGGUAGUGAGUGAUACUCUUUGGAGUUAACUUGAAAUUGCUGGCCUUUUCAUUGGAUGUUUUUUUUCCAAAGAGAGGUUUCUCUGCGUGCUUGAGGUAUAAUGCAAGUACGGUCGUUUUAGGUUUUACCAACUGCGGCUAAUCUUUUUUAUACUGAGCGUAUUGGAACGUUAUCGAUAAGAAGAGAGCGUCUAGGCGAACAAUGUUCUUAAAGUUUGACCUCAAAUCAGGUAGGAGUACCCGCUGAACUUAAGCAUAUCAAAAACCCCGAAGAAAAGG
rnacentral:rRNA from 1 species